rnacentral:misc_RNA from 1 species
GAACGCAUAUUGCACUCUCUGGUAUUCCGGAGAGUAUGCCUGUUUGAGGGUCUGUUAAAUAACAAUCGAGGUUGUUGCUGCCUUUUUUGUGUGGUGACGCUUUGGAAUUGGGUUUUCUUUACCUUCGGGUUAAGUGGCCUAAAAUUUUUACAUGAUUUUUCGAACGUAUUUAAAUCUUUUACGUACGUUUGGUUAUAUCGAAUAUAUUAGGUGUGGUCAUCUUCAUGAUUUCACGUCUAUAAUUUUUUUCAUUUUUAGACCUCAAAUCAGGUAAGAACACCCGCUGAACUUAAG